ensembl:lncRNA
AUGAUGUCCCUGUCCUGGUGUAACAGACUUGGCCCGAAUGAAACAGCAAGCAGCACAGCAAAGUUGUACCAGAGAAGAACUCAGAAAGACUUGAGGAGAUGGCACGGUGACAGAGCCUGGGAUCACCAUGAGAGGCAGCACUACCUGGCAGCACCAAAACAUACUGCUUUGCUCUUGCUUCCUCUAAAGCAAUUUUCAUCUGCAGUAGAAGAGCUGGAAAGAUGAAGGGGGGAAAAAAAUAAUACUAAAAUCAGGACACUUGCAUAUCAGCUAAGCUUUGUUUGUUCUUUCUCAUUUGCAUUCUUUCCCCCAGUGGUUCAACACUGAUAUUUAGUUGCCUGUUCCCUUAGGGAUGAGGCUCCCAAAGGCUUCUCACCUGCCAGUGUCACCUUACAGUCCCAACCUGUACCUCUACUAAUCUGAGAUGCUUUUAAAAUGUUUUUGAAGGGAUCAGCAGCCACUCAAGCCACACCUUUCAUAUACACUGUAUUCUUAUCCAUUCACAUUUCAGCUUCAUCCUUGGAGAGAAGAAAUAUUUGUUAGCUCAAAAACUAUACAUACACAUAUACGUAUGCAAGCAGUCAAGGACUAAAUGAAGCCUGAUCAUGGGUGAACUGGAGGGAUGGAGACACACUGCUUCCUGCCCUAAAGCCUUCCUGACUAUCUUUUUUUUCGAUUUUUACUUACAGUUAUUUGCUAUUGUUCUGUAUUUGAACUGUGGGAGUAUUUAAAACUCAAAAGGAUAGGGGCAGCAGCUGAGUAAGACCCUUGCAGUCAAACAACUGAAAAUAUCCCGAGGGAAUCUCCUGAUCCAUUCAGCUCGACAGGUUCUGUGGAAGAGCAUUCAUUUUUUGGCACAGCAAAAAGCAGGAUUUUCCAGAAACAAAUGUAUUGUGGACAAAAGCAGUUUGUUUCCUAGAAUAAUUACAUGUUAUCAUGUGUUAUUAAAGUGUAGAACCAAAUGAAACAAAAAUGGUCAAAAUUCCUGCACAGUGUUUUGGUUUUAGCAAAAAAGAAGAGCGCUGUGUUGGACAACACUCAACUCAGUACAAAAAUCCCUUUUGGGGGGGAUUUUGAGCAUUUGGCAUUUCACUGAAAAUCAGAAUAGAGUGAUGGAAGUUCAGGCUUUGGCUGUAAGGAUGUAAAAUUUUUUCAUUUCAGGAAGUGAAAAAUACUCUGUUAUCUUGAGUGUCAUUUAUGGGUCAGGAAAAGAACCUGCAAAGCUGUAAAGGAAUCAGUUACUAACGAGUGUGCUAUAUUGUGUCGUGUUUGCUGAAUUAAUAUUUUGCUCUGAUGCAUAUGUCUGAUUUGAAGAGUUCUUGGCUCUGGAGAUUUCAUAAUUACUUGGAUAUGAAGAUUCAGAUUGACAUUGCUGUGGCUCAGCCGCAUUCAGGCAGAGCUUGUCACCAGCUACGGGGAACACAGGCUGUAGAAAAAAUGCCAUUAUUCAGUAGAUAAGGACGACGGCUCACAAUUAUUAUACUUCCUCUCAGUGUUUUAAUUUUCAUGCUGUGUUUCAGUGACAUUGAGAGUAACAGGCAGAGCAAACAAAGCCUAAGCAACAGCUCCUUGCCACUGCUCCUUAAUAAAAGGAAAUGCAUCACUCUCUACUGCCUAACC